UGCUUUCUAGCUCUUCAGAAC
rnacentral:piRNA from 1 species